CUGUCAGUCUGUGUGGCGACGCAUUCAUUGUAUUCACGCCAACAGACACGCUACCAACAACAAAGUCGCCACGCAGCGCCGCCAUUAGACGCUUGUCUACAAACCAACUUUUUGCAACUCAAACAUACAUACAUCCACUUCCACUCAUCAGACACCGCCACUUGAGGCGCUGAGCACACCAAACAAGGCGGUAGGCAGUGCGCAGCCGGCAUUCAACAGCUUUACCAUUUUCGCAAUUCCUACAAAUUGGGUUAAUUACUCGCUUCGUUUGAAAGGGUGCUCCAGCCACAUUUGCAUUUUCCACAGCAGCGUUUAUAAACUCAACUUUUGUUGUAUUAAUUCUAGCAUCUCAAAUGAUUUAAGCGCCAAUUUUGGUUGUGACAUUUGCGUAAAAUGUAAUGGUUUUGAUUACAAUGCACUUGCCAUGGCCAAUCGGGGCCAUAUCGAAUUGCUAUUAGGCGCUAAUGUGGAGGCAAAUGCCGCAAACAUCGAUCUGUCAACCGCAAAACCACACACAUGUUCACAUCUACAACUUCAUCAUGCAGCAGUCUUCAUUCGUCAUUUUAAUGCCAAUAUUUAUGGUUAAACGCUAAGCUAUCAAUUUACGAGCCAAUUUUAGCGUGGCGCUUUGAGAAAAUCAUCGACUUAUUGGGCGGUUUAAAUACUAGCACAAUUAUUAUAAUAAAUACUAUUAUCAUAAACAA